GACGUAGGGUGCGAGCGUUGUCCGGAUUUAUUGGGCGUAAAGAGCUCGUAGGCGGCUCGUCGCGUCGACCGUGAAAACCCGCGGCUUAACUGCGGGCUUGCGGUUGAUACGGGCGGGCUAGAGUUCGGUAGGGGAGACUGGAAUUCCUGGUGUAGCGGUGAAAUGCGCAGAUAUCAGGAGGAACACCGGUGGCGAAGGCGGAUCUCUGGGCCAUUACUGACGCUGAGGAGCGAAAGCGUGGGGAGCGAACAGG
rnacentral:rRNA from 1 species